ensembl:misc_RNA Y_RNA Y RNA
GGCUGGUCCGAUGGCAGUGGGUUAUCAGAACUUAUUAACAUUAGUGUCACUAAUGUUGGUAUACCACCCCCCCCACUGCUAAAUUUGAUUGGCUUUAA